rnacentral:rRNA from 1 species
UGGGGAAUGAUUGCACAAUGGGCGGAAGCCUGAUGCAGCAACGCCGCGUGAGUGAUGAAGGCCUUCGGGUUGUAAAAGCUCUGUCUUUUGGGACGAUAAUGACGGUACCAAACGGAGGAAGCCACGGCUAACUACGUGCCAGCAGCCGCGGUAAUACGUAGGUGGCAAGCGUUGUCCGGAUUUACUGGGCGUAAAGGAUGCGUAGGCGGAUUUUUCAAGUGAGAUGUGAAAUACCCGGGUCUUAACUUGGGUGCUGCAUUUCAAACUGGGAAUCUAGAGUGCGGGAGAGGAGAAUGGAAUUCCUAGUGUAGCGGUGAAAUGCGUAGAGAUUAGGAAGAACACCAGUGGCGAAGGCGAUUCUCUGGACCGUAACUGACGCUGAGGCAUGAAA